CGCCAAACAGCUAGCCCAACCAACCAAAAAUAACAAGCCCCCAUUAAUACCCCCAAAUACACCACAUUAAUAACAAACAAACCAUUUUUCCCCCUUAGUAUGAGCGACAGAAAAG
rnacentral:rRNA from 1 species